GCCUUGUCACCGUUCCUUGCGGGUACUGUGGCGAAGGGCGUGGGUGUGGCGAAAGGGGUACAGAGGCUGGGCUGGCUCCACGGCCCGCCAGCUUUGAAGCAACUCAUUUUCGCCCAAAGCCCUUACCACCGUACCUUGCGGGUACUGGUGUGGGAGUGGCGAAAGGGGUCCAGAGGCUUGGCUGCCUUCGCGGCCCCCCACCUUGGACUUAACUCAUUUUCGCCCCCAGCCCUUGUCGCCGUACUGUGGCGAAGGGUGUGGGUGUGGCGAAAGGGGUCCAGUAGCUGGGCUGGCUUCGCGGCCCCCAGCUUGGACAUAACUCCUUUUCUCCUCCAGCCCUUGUCGCCGUACCUUGCGGGGCGUGGGAGUGGCGAAAGGAGUCCAGAGGCUAGGGUGGCUUCGAAUCCCCCAAGCCUGGAAGCAACUCAUUUUCGCCCCCAGCCCUUGUCGCCGUACCUUUCGGGUACUGUGGCGAAGGGUGUGGGUGUGGCGAAAGGGGUCCAGAGGCUGGGCUGGCUUUGCGGCCCCCAGCUUGGAUUUAACUCAUUUUCGCCCCCAGCCCUUGUCACCGAACCUUGUGGGUGUGGCGAAAGGGGUCCAGAGGCUGCGCUGGCUCCGCGGCCCCCCAACUUGCACUUUACUCCUUUUCGCCCCCAGCCCUUAUCGUCGUACCUUGCGGGUACUGUGGCGCAGGGUGUGGGUGUGGCGAAAGGGGUCCAGAGGCUGGGCUGGCUUCACGGCCCCCAGCUUGGACUUAAAUCCUUUUUGCUCCCAGCCCUUGUCGUCGUACCUUGCGGGUACUUUUGCGGUGGUCGUGGGUGUGUCGAAAGGGGUCUAGAGGCUACGGCGGCUUCGAAUCCCCCCAGCUUAGAAGCAACUCAUUUUCGCCCCCAGCCUUUUUCGCCGUACCUUGCGGGUACUGUGGCGAAGGGUGUGGGUGUGGCGAAAGAGGUCCAGAGGCUGGGCUGGCUUCACGGCCCCCAGCUUGGACUUAACUCCUUUUCGCCCCCAGCCCUUGUCGUCCCCUUUUCGCCGUACCUUGCGGGUACUGUGGCGAAGGUUGUGGGUGUGGCGAAAGAGGUCCAGAGGCUGAGCUGGCUUCACGGCCCCCAGCUUGGACUUAACUCCUUUUCGCCCCAAGCUCUUGUCGUCGUACCUUGUGGGUACUGUGGCGAAGGGUGUGGGUGUGGUGAAACUGGUCCAGAGGCUGGGCUGGCUUCGCGGCACCCAGCUUGGACUAAACUCCUUUUCGCCCCCAGCCCUUGUCGCCGGCGUGGGAGUGGCGUAAGGAGUCCAGAGGUUAGGGCGGCUUCGAAUCCCCCAAGCCUGGAAGCAACUCAUUUUCGCCCCCAGCCCGUGUCGCCGUACCUUUCGGGUACUGUGGCGAAGGGUGUGGGUGUGGCGAAAGGGAGGAUAGGGCGGCUUCGAAGGCCCGCAGCUUGGAAGCAACUCAUCUUCACCCCCAGCCCUUGUCGCCGCACCUUGCGGGUACUGUCGCGAAGGGUGUGGGUGUGGCGAAAGGGGUCCAGAGGCUGGGCUGGCUUCGCGGCCCUCAGCUUGGACUUAACUCCUGUUCGACCCCAGCCCUUAUCGCCGUACCUUGCCGGUACUAUGGCGAAGGGCGUGGGUGUGGCGAAAGGGAUCCAGAGGAAAGGGCGGCUUCGACGCCCCCUAGCUUGGAAGCAACUCAUCUUCGCCCCCAGCCCUUCUCGCCGUAACUUGCGGGUACUGUGGCGAAGGGUGUGGGUGUGGCGAAAGGGGUCCAGAGGCUGGGCUGGCUUCGUGGCCCCCAGGUUGGACUUUACUCCUUUUGGCCCCCGGCCCUUAUCGCCGUACCUUGCGGGUACUGUGGCGAAGGGUGUGGGUGUGGCGAAAGAGGGGUCCAGAGGCUGGGCUGGCAUCCCGGGCCUCCAGCUUGGACUUAACUCCUUUUCGCCCCAACCCCUUGUCGCCGAACCUUGCGGGUACUGUGGCGAAGGGCGUGGUUGUGGCGAAAGUGGUACAGAGGCUGGGCUAGCUCCGCAGCCCCCUAGCUUGGAAGCAACUCAUUUUCACCCCCAGCCCUUGUCGCCGUACCUUGCCGGUACAGUGGCGAAGGGUGUCGGUGUGGCGAAAGGGGUCUAG
rnacentral:lncRNA from 1 species